AGUAACGCGUGAGUAACCUGCCUUCAAGAGGGGGAUAACAUUCUGAAAAGAAUGCUAAUACCGCCAUGACAUAUCGGAACCACAUGGUUUUGAUAUCAAAGAUUUUAUCGCUUGAAGAUGGACUCGCGUCCGAUUAGUUAGUUGGUGAGGUAACGGCUCACCAAGACCGCGAUCGGUAGCCGGACUGAGAGGUUGAACGGCCACAUUGGGACUGAGACACGGCCCAGACUCCUACGGGAGGCAGCAUG
rnacentral:rRNA from 1 species